AUGAACCAAAUCGAAGAGCGAUUAGCAGAAGAGGUCAGGAAACACGAGCACUUGUAUAACCCGUAUCGCACGGACAAGGACCCACAGACCGCGUACAAUUCCUGGAAGGUGAUCUCGGCCAGCGUUGGUUUGGAGGUGCUGGAUUGUUCGACGCUGUGGCGGAAGAUGAGGGACAGAUUUGUCCGCCAGAAUAAGGCCAUGACGGGCAGCGGUGACUCGAAAGCCACUGCCUUUUAUAUAUUCCUGUCGUGGUUGGAACCACACAUAAGACACAGAGAGACGUCGUCAAAAUACGAUAAGCCCUCACCUUGCAACGUAGCCACGAAGAAAGGACCUUCGUUAUCCACCCCAACACCUGAGGCCCCCCCCGAAACAUCUACCUCUUCACCCGAGGCCUCUGUCCAGCCAUCCACCCCAACACCCGAGGCCUCUGUCCAGCCAUCCACCCCAGCCACACCUGAGGCCUCCCCCGAAACAUCCACCUCUUCACCCGAGGCCUCUGUCCAGCCACCCACCCCAACACAUGAGGCCUCCCCCGAGACAUCCACCUCAGUUUCUCCGCUCCCCAGUGUACCGGCUCUGUCCACCCCUCCAGCCGCCAUGAGGCUGGCAUCUCCUCUGUCCCGCAGGGGCCGGAAGAAAAGGCAGAGGGCGCAGAGGGGGAAGCACGACAGGCAGAGGUGGCAGAGAGGGCAGAGGGGGCAGUACGACAGGCAGAGGGGGCAGGAUGACGGGCAGAGGAGGCAGGACGACAGGCAGAUGAUCCGGCUGGACGGGCAGAGGAGGCAGGACGACGGGCAGAGAGGGCAGGACGACGGGCAGAGGAGGCAGGACGACAGGCAGAUGAUCCGGCUGGACGGGCAGAGGAGGCAGGACGACGGGCAGAGAGGGCAGGACGACGGGCAGAGGAGGCAGGACGACAGGCAGAUGAUCCGGCUGGACGGGCAGAGGAGGCAGGACGACGGGCAGAUGAUCCGGCUGGACGGGCGCAGGCUGGACGGGCAGAAGAAGAAGAUGGGGGUCAGGGAUGAGUAUUCUAGAUUUGGUGAGCUGGUGGCUGCUAUGAUGAGCAGGGUGCAGGAAGAUAAGAGGGCCGAAGCAAUGAACUCUGUGUACAGCCUGUUGGACAGAAGCAAUGCACUCUGGGUACAGCCUGUUGAACUGAAGCAAUGCACUCUGGGUACAGCCUGUUGGACUGAAGCAAUGCACUCUGGGUACAGCCUGUUGGACUGAAGCAAUGCAGACUGACUGUGUACAGUGUGACGACCCCUCCACGCCACUAGGAGUCUUUUCCCUCUUGCUGGCCCUUUUCCAGGUUUCCUGUUUGGAGUGGUGGGUCAUCAGGCCUGAUGAGUUACACCUGUGGCCGGUUUGGCUCUGUGGCCUAUACCAGCACUCCUUCUCCAGUUCCCGGGAGAGAUCCCUUCCCCGUUGCAGACGGCUGCGUUUUGACUGUUGUUAUCCUUAUUUCAUUAUCUUUGUAAUAAAUGAUUGUUACUUCGUUCA
rnacentral:lncRNA from 1 species